rnacentral:rRNA from 1 species
GAUGAACGCUGGCGGCGUGCCUAAUACAUGCAAGUCGAGCGAACAGACGAGGAGCUUGCUCCUCUGACGUUAGCGGCGGACGGGUGAGUAACACGUGGAUAACCUACCUAUAAGACUGGGAUAACUUCGGGAAACCGGAGCUAAUACCGGAUAAUAUAUUGAACCGCAUGGUUCAAUAGUGAAAGACGGUUUUGCUGUCACUUAUAGAUGGAUCCGCGCCGCAUUAGCUAGUUGGUAAGGUAACGGCUUACCAAGGCGACGAUGCGUAGCCGACCUGAGAGGGUGAUCGGCCACACAGGAACUGAGACACGGUCCAGACUCCUACGGGAGGCAGCAGUAGGGAAUCUUCCGCAAUGGGCGAAAGCCUGACGGAGCAACGCCGCGUGAGUGAUGAAGGUCUUCGGAUCGUAAAACUCUGUUAUUAGGGAAGAACAAAUGUGUAAGUAACUAUGCACGUCUUGACGGUACCUAAUCAGAAAGCCACGGCGAACUACGU